CUCCAGCACAGCACCUUCCCCUCGCUCCUCAGCUCUGCGCGGCGGCGCAAGGACGAGCUCUCUGCUACCCGCAAACACUCGCACACCGAAGGUGCGGACGCGAACGCAGUUAAAAUGGCGGCGGGGCAGCCCCGCCUCCCCCGACCGGGCAGGGCCGAGUAGGGCGGCAGUGGUGUGGCCGGUGGCGGGCAGGCGGCCUAUGAGCCCUCCACAGCAGGUGGACCGGUGGCGGGUUGUCUAAAUAAGGCAAAAUCUGUUACUUAAUAUGAAGAAAAGCAGAGGCCGGACAGGCCGAAAGAGAAGAAGAAAACACUUGCAGAGUUUGGGUGGAGUCAACUGCAGUCACAAGCUGGAAUACAUUAAACUUAAGAAGUGGCUAAAAGACAGAGGAUUUGAAGACAGUAAUUUAAAGCCAGCAGAGUUCUGGGGUACAGGAAGAGGACUGAUGUCAACAAAAGCUCUUCAGGCAGGGGAUCUGAUUAUCUCGUUGCCUGAGAAAUGCUUACUCACCACGGGCACUGUCCUUUGUAGCUGCUUGGGAGAAUACAUUAUGAACCUUUGUUUGCUGAGAACACAGAAACUGUUUUUAACUACAGUGCUCUAGAGUGGGCUUGGUGCACAAUUAAUACCAGGACAAUCUACAUGAAACAUUCACAGAGGGAAUGUUUUUCUCUUGAGCCAGAUGUUUAUGCAUUGGCACCAUAUUUAGAUUUGCUAAACCACAGUCCAAAUGUUCAGGUAAGAAGCUGAAAACAGAUCACUUAAUUUCUUUAUUUGCAAAUGCACUAUCUCAGUACAGUAUGAAUUCAGGUGAUGGAAUAGGUGAGUCUGGACAUCGGUGAGGGAUCUCAUAGUGGGAAAAAUGUCUACUGGGGACAUAUGCAAGCUGAGUGCUCAUGGUUAUAGUAUAUACCUUGGAGCUUGUUUUUCAGCCCAAAGUAGUUGAGUAAAGAUGAUUCAAAUGUUUGAGUUUAUGUAGCAAAGUUAAAGGGAGAGCCCACAAUGGCUGGGUGAGAUUUGCAUCCAGGGUAGCUAUGGGGAAGAGCCACUUGUAGAUAUAAACCUACUCUGCUCUCCCAAAAGGCUCAGCUCCUGAGACAAAUCUGGAGUCAUAUGGUUCCUGUGUUACUUCACCUCUGGCUGAAGCCUUUGAGCAGCCUUAGGAAAGCGUACAAAGUAGUCCUACUUCAUGCCAGGGACUGUGUGCCAACACAGAGUUGGGACAGCACGAAAGUGGCCAACUCUGCAUGAAGCCAUCUUUAUUUGUGGAUUUGGGACCUCUGUAAUAAAUCUAGAGUUGGUGGUACACCCUGUGGGGUAAGGUUUUGAUGUAUGUUCUUCAUGCUAACGGAUUGCCUUUUCAGACAUGUGUAACACUAUCUGUUUUCUUCCAGUUAGAGAAGUGUUCAGUACUGUUGGAUUUUAAUAUUCAAGGUCUGAUUCCUUUUUCACCCUGUCCUCCUGCCAGGAGUAAAACCUUUUAUUUUUAACUUUGUGAAGGUAAAGGCUGCAUUUAAUGAGCAGACAAGAAGCUAUGAAAUUCGGACAAAUUCACAAUGCAAAAGAUAUGAAGAAGUAUUUAUCUGCUAUGGGCCUCAUGAUAAUCAGCGACUGCUACUAGAAUAUGGAUUUGUUGCCAUCGAUAACCCUCACAGCAGUGUUUAUGUCUCAUCAGGUUGGAUUUAUAGGUUGUCUUGAAAUUGAACGGCACAAUAGUAGAGAACAGAGCAUGUGAGCAUGUUAAUACUAUCUGUAUUCAACAGGAGAUGUCAGUAAAAGGGGAUAACUAAAGGAUAGUGAAGAAAUUCACACGCAUCCAUAUACAUAAAUGCACAACAUGCACAAUGCAUAUUAAGAUUUUCUGGUUUUGGUUUUUUUUAAGUACCGUGAAAAUAUUUGUAUUUCCAAGAAGUGGAAUAGGGUUUGGUGCCACUUUUAACUGCAAAGAAUUGGAGUUUUAAAAUUGAAAGUGUUCUUCGAUAACUUUUCCUUUUGUAAAAUUGCAAUUCUUAGCAGCAUAUAUGUAGAGAUUCCAAAUGGAUGUCUUAGAUUGUGCCAUUGACUUGAGGAUUGAAGUCCUGAUCCUCACAAACUAAAGUUACUGACGGUGGUUCGUAACUUCAGUUUCAGUCAGGAUUUCCAUUAUAAGGAUAUAAUCCUGGAGAUUGCUGAUGGCUUUUGAGAAGUAGAUAAAUUUUUGGUUAUGUUAAAGUUCACCAACAUUGUAGCAGGUUUUGAUCUUUAGCCUGAAGCUUCUUGUAAUAGAUGAUUGAAAUGUCAUUUCAGAACUGAGGAUUGUGGUUUUCUUCUACAUGCCAUUUAUUUAAAUAUCUAAAAUGUGCUUUUAUGCAGAUACUCUCCUCAAAUAUUUUCCACCACUGGACAAGCAGAGAAAUGCAAAACUUUCCAUUCUGAGGGAUCAUGAUUUCUUAGAAAACCUGACCUUUGGAUGGGAUGGACCAUCUUGGAGACUCCUUACUGCCCUCAAGUUGUUAAGUCUUGGAGCAGAUGAAUUUACUUGCUGGAGGAGAACGCUGCUCGGUGAUAUAAUUUCAGCCAGAAAUGAAGAGCAGACUUUGAAUGUAACAGCAAAAAUAUGCCAUUUUUUAAUAGAGGAGACACAGCAUGUCCUUUUCCAGAUUUCUCAGUUGAAAAGGAGCAAAGAAAACCUCAAAACCCACCUGGCUUUGGUAGAAGCGCUGAGCUUGGAAGACCUGAAGAUACUACAAAAAUCGGCUGAGAUUCUUUGUAACUUGAGUAUGGCAACAACUUGACUUAUCUGGACCUGUGGCUGAUUGGAGCUGGUUUGCCAUGGAUGUGCCUUGCUGACCUGUUUUAAUGGAUCUGAACAGCAAAAAAUAAUGUAAAAAUCAUCAGAAUAUGCUUAGUUUUGAUUACAGAGUCACACAGGACCCAGUCUUAUUUUGUUCUUUGCUGACCUUCUUCAGUAGUACAAAAGGUUAGCCCAAAUGGUAGGGGGAGAGCACAGGUGGCUUUCAUCAUAUGUCAUUGAAAUUAUGGCUGCUGUGAGCAAAGCAGCUUCUGGGGUGAUUUGAGCAGCCCUAGGACUGUGGGCUCCAGCAGUCCUAGACUUUACAGCUGCCUGUGUGGCUAAAGCAUGGAUCACAGGGUCAAGCAGAUACUCCUCAGCAUGUAUUUGAGCUCUGGUGCUUGACAGAGAGGUAGAGGACAGAGCCAUUUAUAUUUGUCCUAUAUCAAUCCUUUGCCUUUCCUCUGCGUGAAUUUCCCUCUUUUACUCUCAGAGCUCCCUCCAGACUCACUAGUUUAUGUUCUGGCUCCUCCUGCUGGGAGUGGGAACUGAAAGGAUAUAUCACUUUGAACUGUUUCUUGUUUGGAAGACCACCCGGCAAUUAAUUCUGUUUCCACUCAGUUCUGAUGAUCACAUUGAGAAAUGUUCCUAUCCUGUCUAUAAGGGGAUAGUCUAAUGAGCUGCCUUUCAGUAUUAGUUCUACUUAAGUAGGGAGCCUGAGCUCCCGAUGUCGUUCAGAGAAGAGAGACUUCUUCAAAGGGCAUUUGAGGGCAGGACCCUUAUUUAAGCUGUACAAACUUACUUUAUAAUCGUGAUUGUGUUGUGUUUAUUUUCCAUUUUGUGGGGAAUUGCAUUUCAUAGAUGUUUUUGUUACUGUUUUUAGCAUUUGUUAAGAACUGUGUUUUUAAGUGUUUAUUUUUUAAAUAAAUCGCUUCAUUUUCUACAAGACCUAUUUUUGAAAUAAAUGAAAUUGUAUACAACAGUAAAGGCAUUCUAGAUAAUGAUGUAACUUAAGGAAAAAAUGCAGCAAGUGAAAACUCUUAAGUAUUCAGGCUUACAUGCACUUUCAGACUUUCUUUGGUAUCUUGUGAACAAGAAUGUUAUUGUGUAAACUUGCUUGGAUUUGAGGAUUCCAUGGUUUUUUUUUAGUCUCUGUAUUUGGGACAGGAAAUGCCUUGAUACUUGGAGCUCUGAGAAGGGCCCUUCCUUACCUACAAGGGUAUGCUGGUUUAGCUUCAAAAUUCUGCAGAAACUGAGAAGUGUAGCUGUUUGCUGUUUACUCAGUUUCCAAACCCAAAAGUUCUUGGUUUUGAGGUGCCAUCUUCAUAAUCUCUUCCUAGAAUUAGGAAGUUCUGAAAAUAAGCUUUUUUUUCUGCCUUGUUUACCCUAAUACACUGUCAGGCUUUUUUGUACCGUUCAUAUGGAGAUGCUGAUAGUGUGUUGUUACUUUACAUUUCAGAGCAGAGGGCAGGGUGAAUGGGUUGGGAGAGGAACUGAAGUGCUUUCUGGAGCUAGAAUCGCAUUUAUUACAUCCUUUGGGCCAACUUACUUUCAUAUUUGCCUAAAUUGUGGUUUUAAUCCCUGCAAGUCACUUAGUACCAUAUUUUAUAGUCUAGUCAGCCCCAUUCUGAAGUACCUCCUGGGGUGAGAUGCCUCUCUGGAUUUGGGGAUGCAGUCUCUACUAAUCUCACCAAGGGCAAUUCCCAUCAGCUUCAUGAGGAUCCUUCUGUACCACUGAACCUGUCUACAGCAGAGAUAAGCAGGGCUGAGACUUGGCCAGUCAUUUUGAUUAGAUCUGCAAAAAGGUCUACGCAAGUCAUGGGUGACAUGAAGAGGGCGGAUGGUGACUGAGCAUUCACAGUGCAAGAAGUAAGGGUUUUCAAAGGAAGCUUGAAGAACUCAGGUUCAAAACUACCAGAACGUGGUAACAAAUCCAUUGAUGUUCAUAAGGGACAUGGAUACAAAUGUUGACAUGGAUACAGAGCACAGAAUACCCAGAAGACGAAGCUGUUGGCAGUUAGCAGCCAGCCAAACAACUUUGGUGUUAUGCAGUCUCCUGAUCUCAAAAUAGUUCAAGGCUGGGAGGAUAUUGACGGCAAGUCUUAUAAAUGCUUGACCUGUGCUUUCUCUAUAAAGGUCUUGGUGGACACUGUGGGAAACAGGGCACUGGGCUAGUGGGAUGCUUUUCUGAACAUGUCUGCAGUUUUGAUGAUUACAGUUGAACUGCUUGACUUCUCACUUUCUUUUAAUAAGAACUUUUUCAUUCUGUAAGAACAGAUGUGUUUCACACUUAAUAAUUUUAUAAUGAGAUGGUACCAGAGUUAAAGAAGAUAAGGAUAUUUCUUGUUGGAUUUUUUGUUUGGGUUUGGUUUUUGUUUUUUUCUUUUUAUUCUGGAGAUGGCUAUUUUAAGAAAAACUUAUGUCCAUUGUGUCCUGCAAGAUGGAUACUAGUUUAUUUGCUUCAGUACAGCAUUACACACUACACAUUUAUACCAGGUGAUUUGAAUAUGGGCUCUACUUGUGUAACUCCUACA